GUCUGGCGUCAGCACUGGAACAGGGCAGCAGAGCUGGAGAGUAAGAAGCAGAGCUGGAGAGGAAGAAGUGUUUGCUAAGUCACCGCGCAGGAGGAGACAGAAUCAGAGGUGACGAAUGUAAGUCCACCCAUUGGCUUAAGAUCCAGUAUCCUGAGUGAGUUGCACAGAUCCUCUCCUUCAGUCCUCUCAGGAACUCUAGAGGUCCCUGCAGUUAUGAAGAACUAAUUAAAGGCAUGAAAUGUUCCUCUGCAAGUUUCAUUGACCAUAUUGGGCCUACAGUCCAUUUCCAAAUAAAUAUCUAAGGUAGCAACCUUGGCAGUGGGAGCCCAGCAGGUCCCGUCUUUGUCCCUGUGCUGAUACAGAGAGACUCUCCGUGCUGUGGACGCCUCCAUCUGGGCACAUGUUUCAGUUGUUUUCUAAAUACCAAGAGCACAGAUUGCUCAGUAAUAAUAGCUCUCCUGCAAAUCUGGAAUCACUUAGGCAGCUGCAGUGCCUCUAAGCCUCCUUGCAUCCAAGGCUGUGAUCAAGGAGGACUGGUGUCUGAGUGGGCUUGAGAAGGGCCCGGAGAACAGCGGGUUUCCUGAUCACAAAUCAGCCUGUCAUUCAGCAUGUGUUCCCUUGGUGACUCAGGGCGAUAUCUGCCCUUCUCCGGAGGUCAAGGGCUCAUCGUGUCAAUUGUGGUCUUGAGUUUGUUUUUUUUUUCCUCUUGAAAUCAUUGUAAUUAAGCUAAAAGUAUAGUGUUGGUAUCCAGCACAUGUUUGCAAAGUAUUUAACAAUGAGCAAAAACUUUAAGAAUAAAUUAAAGCAUCUAGUUUACUUUUUGCCAACAGCCAGGUUCCUGCUAGAAAUGAUUUUGAAAUAAAUGUUGUCUUGGAAAUA
rnacentral:lncRNA from 1 species